rnacentral:tRNA from 1 species
AUUUAUAUAAUUUAUUUAAAAUAUUGUAUUUUCAUUACAAAAAUGGUUAAAAUCCUAUAAAUA